UUGAGUCAUGAAGUCGUAUGUUACGACAAUAACAGGUUCAUGCUAAGUCAAGUGAAAGAGAGAACAGGAACAUUUAAAUAACGGAUUUACAAAUACAAUGAGAUGCAGUCUUUGGAAUAAUGGUGGAUUUAUAGAAGCAUCGUUGGCUCUGUCCUACUGUGGAUUACCUCAUGAUAACACGAACGGACGGCUACGGAUGGCUGGAGGCCUACCCGUGACAAUACUGUCCAACCCACAACCUCUCCCCCACAGAAUGUCUUGAAAGGGAUGUGUGGACGCCUACGACAGGAUCAGAACCAUCAGG